ACGACUCUCGGCAACGGAUAUCUCGGCUCACGCAUCGAUGAAGAACGUAGCAAAAUGCGAUACUUGGUGUGAAUUGCAGAAUCCCGUGAACCAUCGAGUUUUUGAACGCAAGUUGCGCCCGAAACCAUUUGGUUGAGGGCACGUCUGCCUGGGCGUCACA
rnacentral:rRNA from 1 species